rnacentral:lncRNA from 10 species
AAACUAGUGGUCUCCUAUUAAGUAAAUAGAUGUGGGUCUCAUUAGAGGGAUCCAUUCUAAAACAGAAGAGGACAACACUCAGGGAGGGCUGCAAUGAGACAGAGAAUCCUGAGAUUGUUCCUCAUGUGCAGAUCUUCACCUGGGGCUGCAGAAGACUGUACAGCUAUAGACAAAAUAAUGAUAAGGUACAGAUGUCGUGGAAAGCCAGAACAUAGGAGUGAAUCCAUCCUACAGUCUGAAGGCGGAAACAAAGCCAUAAAUGGGGUUGGGGGAGAAACCCUGUGGUAAGAAUCUGUAGAGAUGAGGAAAAAAUUGUAGGAUUUAAGGUAGGUUAGGAACUGGCAGUUCAGAGCAAUGCCAGGGUAUUAGAAACUCACUCUCGUGUCAUCUAAGUUUCCCAAUAUAGGAUUGAGUGGACCUCAUCAUAUUAGCCACAUUCAAGGAAUAUAUGUAUGUUAUAGAAGUCAAUGGUUACAUUAAAAUAUUAAGUUUGAACACAAGUUCUAAUUUAUUUUUAUCAUUAUUUCUUAAUAGCAAUUAAUUCUUUGGGGCUUCAAUUACUGACUGUAUUCCAAACGGUUACCAACAGUUCACUUCUUUUAUUGCAGAACUUACACCAUUUCCAAAUAACCAAUGUAAAUUUUUACCUCGGAUAUUAUUUUGUUACCCGCAAACAACAAAUGUGAAUUUAGAUUUAUCAUCUUCGUCGGGGACUGAAUUUCCCCUGUAAUAUUGUUUUUUGUUGAUUUGUUUGUUUUGUAGUGGCAUCCCCUGCCCCUAUGUACCUAUGUUUGAUUUAUCUUUUAUUUCCUUCUUUUAUACUUAAACCUUAAGGUGGAUUGGAAAGUUGAUAUCAGUGACACAAAGUUUAGUUGAUUGGGUACUUUACAUUUCUACUUGACUUUGUACAUUUCUGAUUUAUAUGAACAACAAGCAACUCAGACUAAGCCUCCUUCAUUGCCCUAAGAGGUCUACUAUAUUUCUAGUGAUUUUACCUAGGGGAUCUAUACAUGUACUAACAGUAGAAAUUAGAGGUGCAACACUACUGGCCAGAAUAUAGCAACAUCCUAAGUACAUUAAUAAUGUGUAAAGUGCCCAGCAUGUAAGGCACAAAUAAAAAUAGGGAAUGUCAUUUUAUUAAAUUAUCAGAAGUUAUGGGUCACAUUCAAACAGAAAUAUUCUAAGAAAUUCAAUUCUAAGAAAUUCAACUUACUUUUAAUGUCAAUGUUUCUGAAAUUGGUAAACAUCAUUGACGUCAAAAAGCCUUCUAUGCAUGAAAUAAAUUAUACUUGUCAUUUCUGAGCUUAUGGUAACAUGGUCAAGAAUUAAAGGUAUAUUCAUCUGACUUCUGUUUCAUCAGGCUGCUAUUUGAGAAGGGUUAUUUGCCUUAGUACCAUCAGCAGUGGUUGAAUUUUAUAUUUGGUUCUGCAUUUGUCAUUUAAAAUGUCCACAAAAAGAUAACCCCCUUAAGGAGCAUUAGAACUAGAAGUUACUGUGAACCUAGACGAUCGCCUGUUUUUUGCCAUCUAGCAUAAUGAAGGUCGUAGUAUUGCCAAAGUUUUUCGAAUUCACUGUAGUUUUUUCAAAACUAGAUAAAAACUCUGACCAAUUUUUGAGUCCUGGGGGACUAUCACUUCAGCCAUAAACACAAACAAGUUAACUAGAAUUUAACGAAAUAGUAAAUGGAGAAAAAAAUUCUAGAAUUACCUGAUUUGUUUCUAAAUUAUACUGUUGCUCCUAAAAAUGUUAAGAAAUUAGGGUCGUGAGCACUGUUGGUCACUAUGAUGAUAUGCUUACCCACUGAUGGUCAAAAUUUAUCAGAAGAAUUUUUAGAUUUGGACUAUGUCAUGGCUUAGAUGCUGAUACUGAUGAAUAAAGUGACAUGCAAUUUUAUGGAUAAAUGAAUGUUACUGUUAAGUAGUUUUUAAAUAUGUACAUUUUAAUAUAAUGUAUUUCCUCAAAAUGCUAUUCUCAAUUUGAUGAUAUGCCUUGAAAAUCAAUACUGUUUUAGGAAGAAGGAAAUGUGGUAAAUUAAUGGUGUCAUUAGAAGAACGGAGGUUGCCAUAGAACCUCAUUUGCUUUACUCUUAGGAUGUAACUUUUAAAUUUAUUCUUAUUUGAAUUUUCUUAUCUUCCAUACUGAACAGGAAGCUUAUUGAAUGAACAAACCAUGAGUACAAUUAGCAUAUACCUAAAUUGAUUUGCAGUGAAAAGGUGCUUCAUAAAUUCUUGUUUGCCUGAAGAAAUUAGGAGGCAAAGGAGCAUCAAAACAAAAGGGAAAAUAAGAAUUAAAGUGAGAUGCUGUAUCAGAGGCCAAGUAAAGAUGCUGGUCUGCCUAAUCUGACUUUCUGACACUGAGAGGCAAACCUCCAAAAUUUCCACCUAUCUACAUACAUUCAUUCACUCACUCACCCAGUCUCUAUACAUUAGGAAGUCAUUGCUUUAUGUUAACCCUUGGUUUUGAAAAAGAAUGCAAAAUUAAAUGAAGAAUAAACUCUGUUUAAAAGGGAGGGUUUGUUUGACAGGCAUAUGUAUAAACACUGGAAAUUAUGAGAGUACAGAGGGUUUCCAAUUUUCCACAUACAGAAAGAGUACUAAAAAAUGGUGGUGUGUUCAGAGUAAUGGCAAACUUAAUUUAAUUUCAUGCCUUCAAGCAAUAUUACUUUAUUUAUUGAGAAUUUUAACACAAAGCAAUCAUUUGUAUAUCACGGAUACCCAGAAAGAAUAAAUAUUGUGGUUCUAAUUCCUACACUUUGAUUUAUUAGUCUUUAGUUUAUUUGAAUGUCAUGUCACAGAGUACAGCUAAUAAAAGCAUGAACAUUUGUCUUUGAGCAAGUUUGAUCUGAGGUGAGUAACAUUAAACAAUAGCCUAUUGACAAGCAAUUAAACACCACUUCUUUUCUUAGGAGUGUUUUGAAUUACAUUUGUUCUAACUAGUGGCAGCAUCUUUUGUGUUUAGAAUUCCAAUAUAAUCUUAGAUGAGAAGAAUCUUUUAAUUAGAUUUUCAAUAGAAUCGGCCAAGACCCACUGCUCACCAUCUUGACUCUUUGUCUUCAUUGAUUUGGACCAAAACAAAACAAAGAUAAAUAGCAAAAUUCAUUAUCAAUGUUUAUUUCAACUGUCUAUUGUCAUUUCCUCAGGGUAUACAACACAGUUUUCCGCAGACAGAAUGCUGUGUUUCUUACUUUUAGCUUUAGAGCUGUAUAUUCAACAAUUCUGUGUCAUGGAAGAACCUAGCUGAGGCAAAAAAAAGAAAAAGACAAUCAGGACAAGAUGUGGAGGUGGAAGACAGUGAUGUUAAUGCUCCUGACACCUGGUAGGCUUAGUAUAACUUCUAUGUGUAUGUCUUAGUUCUUAAAAAAAUAGUUUAAAAGGCAAAAAUAGAAUUAAAAAGUAUAAAAAUAGGAAAAAACUUAUAGGAUAAGAAUAUAAAGAAAAAAUAUUCUUAUAUAGCUAGCUGUACAAUAUGUUUGUGUUUUAAGCUAUGUGUUAUUACAGAAAAGUCAAAAAGUUUGGAAACGUAAAAACUCUAUAAAGCAAAAAGUUACAAUAAGCCAAUAUUAAUUUAUUAUUGAAGAAAGACAAACUUUUUAAUAAACUUAGUGUAUCCUAUGUGUACAGUGUUGAUUAAGUUUACAGUAGUGUAAUGUCCCAGGCUUUUACAUUCUCUCACCUCUCAAUCAUUGGCUCACCCAGGGCAACUUCCAGUCCUGCAAGCUCUGUUCAUGGCUUGAAAGAAAAGGUCAAGUGUGGUGGCUCAUACCUGUAAUCCCAACAUGUUGGGGGGCAGAGGCGAGAGGACCACUUGAGACCAGGAGUUUGAGACCAGCCUGGGCAACAUAGCAAGGACCUGUGCCUACAAAGAAACAAAAUAAAUAAAUGAAUAAAAAGACUAUUCAAAUGAUGGAUAGUUUGGUUUUAAAAUAUGAAAAGAACCCAUAGAAACUCAAAUGAAGAAAGAGAAUCUCAGGAAACAAAGUUUAGCUUGGCAAUAAUUGAACCAAAAUCACUGGGGAUCCAUUCUUUCUCUUUUAUUUUGUAGAUGAGUUAUCUUGCAUAUAUUUCUGCAUAUUGCUUUACUUUUCUUUGCUGCAGCCUCACUUCCAACAUGAAAAUCUUAGAAUUGGCACCCUUAUAAUAUUGGUUUCCACAUAGUAUGUGGUUAAAAUGUCAUGAACUCUGACAUUAAUUAUCUGUUGUAUCUCCAGAGACUAAAUCAGUUUAUUUGAUUCUGUUUUUUAAAAUUAAUUUGUUUGUACAGUUUAUGGAGGUAUAAUUGACAUUCUAUAAAUGGCUAAUAUCUCAUAGUACAAUUUGGUAAAACAUAAUCUAUUUGUACCCCAGUAAAACCACCACCAUAAUGGAGAUAAUGAAUAUGUGCAUUAUCCUCAAAGCUUUCCUCAUGCCCUUUUAUAACCUCUUGCUUCCAGCUCUCACCUCUCUGGAUUCGUCUCUGGCAAUCUUUAUCUGCUCUCACGAUGCAUGACUGAAUUUUAUAUAAGUGAAAUCAUAUGUUUGCCUAAUUUCUUUCAUUCAUUUAACUAUUUUAACAUUCACCCAUAUAAAUGUGUAUAUCAUUAUUUAAUGCCUUUUUAACUGCUGAGAAAUACUGUAUUUUAUAGAUAUACCUCAAUUUGUUUAUCCAUUCACAUUUAGGCAAUUGGACAUUUGGGACAUUUAGGUUGUUUCUAGUUUCGAGUCUUUAAAGAUGAUGUUAAUGAUGUUACUGUGAGCAUUUAUGUACAAGUCCAUGUAUAAACAUAUGUGUUUUAAUUUGAUAAACACCUAAAAAUGGGAUGACAGAGUCAAAUGGUAGGCUUAUGUUUAACUUCUUAAGAAACUACCACAUUUUUGUUCAAAAGCAACUAUCAGAUUUUACAUUCCUGCCUGCAGUAAAUGAGAGUUCUAGUUUUUUGAUGUUUACAAUACUUGGUAAGGUCAGUCUUAAAAUUUUAGUCACUCUUACUGGUGUGUGUACUAGUAUUUCUGUGUGUUUUUUAACUUGUGAUGUUCAGAAACUGUUUCUAUGGUGAUUUACUAUGUGUACAUCUUUAUUAAAAUGGAUCUGUUCACAGUCUUGGCCAAUUUUUUUAAAAUAGGGUUGCUUGUUUUCUUAUUAAUGAGUUUUGUUUCAUUCUAUAAUGUUUAACAUUGAGAUAUAAGUCACGUGAAAUAUAAUUCACCAUUUUGAAGUGUAUAUGUCAGUGGUUUUUAGUAUAACUACACAAUAUUGUACAACAAUUAUGACUAUUUUAUUCCAGAACAUUUUCAUUAAUCCAUAAAGAAAUCACAUACCUAUUAACAAUCAUGCCUAAUCUUUUCCUCCACUCGUCUCUGGCAACCCAUCAAUCUACUCUGUUUCCCUAGAUCUGUAUAUUCUGAAAAUUUCAUAUAAAUGAAUUCAUGCAAUAGUGAUAAUUUCUGAUAUGGCUUCUUUCCAUUUAGCAUGUUUUCAAGGUUCAUCCAAAUUGUGGCAUGUGACAGGUUUUUAUUACUUUUUAUGGCUGAAAAAUUUUUCUAUAGAGUUUUGAGAAUUUUUAUAUAGCCUGGAUACACAUUAUCAGAUUCAUUAUGUGUAAAUAUGUUUGUAAUUAUUCCUGUCUGUUGCUUGUUUUUUAAUGUUUCUUACAGUGUCUUUAAUUGUUAUUAUUAUUACUAUUAUUAUUAUUACUUUGAGAUGGAGUCUCACUCUGUCUCCCAGGCUGGAGUGCGGUGGCACAAUCUCGACUCACUGCAACCU